UACGAAGGGGACUAGCGUUGUUCGGAAUCACUGGGCGUAAAGCGCACGUAGGCGGAUGUGUCAGUCAGGGGUGAAAUCCCGGGGCUCAACCUCGGAACUGCCUUUGAUACAGCACGUCUCGAGUCCGGAAGAGGUGGGUGGAAUUCCUGGUGUAGCGGUGAAAUGCGCAGAUAUCAGGAGGAACACCAAUUGCGAAGGCAGCUCGCUGGGACGUUACUGACGCUGAGACGCGAAAGCGUGGGGAGCAAACAGG
rnacentral:rRNA from 1 species